UACGGGGGGGGCAAGCGUUAUUCUUCAUUACUGGGCGUAAAGGGUGCGUAGGUGGUCUAUUAAGUUCUAAUUUAAAGUCCAGAGUUUAACUUUGGGAAAAAUUUUUAUACUAAUAUGACUAGAGUACCAGAGAGGAUAGUAGAAUUUUUAGAGUAGUGAUGAAAUACGUAGAUACUAAAAGGAAUACCAUAAGCGAAGGCGACUAUCUGGAUGGAUACUGACACUGAGGCACGAAAGUAUGGGGA
rnacentral:rRNA from 1 species